rnacentral:piRNA from 2 species
AAUGCGGAUAUGGGACUGAGACC